UUUCUUUCUUUCUUUCUUCCUUCCUUUCUUUCUUCCUUUCUUUUUUGUAUAUUUUAUCG
rnacentral:ribozyme from 12 species